AUUGAACGCUGGCGGCAGGCCUAACACAUGCAAGUCGAGCGGAUGAAGGGAGCUUGCUCCUGGAUUCAGCGGCGGACGGGUGAGUAAUGCCUAGGAAUCUGCCUGGUAGUGGGGGAUAACGUCCGGAAACGGGCGCUAAUACCGCAUACGUCCUGAGGGAGAAAGUGGGGGAUCUUCGGACCUCACGCUAUCAGAUGAGCCUAGGUCGGAUUAGCUAGUUGGUGGGGUAAAGGCCUACCAAGGCGACGAUCCGUAACUGGUCUGAGAGGAUGAUCAGUCACACUGGAACUGAGACAAGGUCCAGACUCCUACGGGAGGCAGCAGUGGGGAAUAUUGGACAAUGGGCGAAAGCCUGAUCCAGCCAUGCCGCGUGUGUGAAGAAGGUCUUCGGAUUGUAAAGCACUUUAAGUUGGGAGGAAGGGCAGUAAGUUAAUACCUUGCUGUUUUGACGGUACCAACAGAAUAAGCACCGGCUAACUUCGUG
rnacentral:rRNA from 1 species